rnacentral:rRNA from 1 species
UACAGAGGUCUCAAGCGUUGUUCGGAUUCAUUGGGCGUAAAGGGUGCGUAGGCGGCGCGGUAAGUCGGAUGUGAAAUCUCGGAGCUUAACUCCGAAACUGCAUUCGAUACUGCCGUGAUUGAGGACUGGAGAGGAAACUGGAAUUUACGGUGUAGCGGUGAAAUGCGUAGAUAUCGUAAGGAAGACCAGUGGCGAAGGCGGGUCUCUGGGCCGAUACUGACGCUGAGGAGCGAAAAGCGUGGGGAGCGAACAGG